ACCGAGGAGUUCCAGUGAUCAAGUGGAAGAAAGAUGGCAUUCAUCUGGCCUUGGGAAUGGAUGAAAGGAAGCAGCAACUUUCAAAUGGGUCUCUGCUGAUACAAAACAUACUUCAUUCCAGACACCACAAGCCAGAUGAGGGACUUUACCAAUGUGAGGCAUCUUUAGGAGAUUCUGGCUCAAUUAUUAGUCGGACAGCAAAAGUUGCAGUAGCAGAAAAGAAGCUGGGCACAGGGGCUCAUGCCUGUAAUCCCAGCACUUUGGGAAGCCAAGGCAGGAGGAUUACUUGAACCCAGGAGUUGGAGACUCACCUGGGCAACAUAUAGACCACUGAGGUUCCUUUCACAGACAGAAUCUGUCACAGCCUUCAUGGGAGACACAGUGCUACUCAAGUGUGAAGUCAUUGGGGAGCCCAUGCCAACAAUCCACUGGCAGAAGAACCAACAAGACCUGACUCCAAUCCCAGGUGACUCCCGAGUGGUGGUCUUGCCCUCUGGAGCAUUGCAGAUCAGCCGACUCCAACCGGGGGACAUUGGAAUUUACCGAUGC
rnacentral:lncRNA from 10 species